rnacentral:lncRNA from 1 species
GUUCGCUCUCAGAGCUCGGAUCUGUAUAAAGAGCGCUGUGGGAGUCUUUUGCCCUCCGCUCUAGCUCUAUCUUCCUCCGGACCCCGAAGCUUAAGAAGUAUCCGCCUCACUCUCUUUUUUAGAAAUAGGAGGGAAAGGUAGAGUGGAAAUUGAUUUCUUGCAGAGACUGAGGCGCUGAAUGAUAGAGGGAAUAAACAUUUGCCCUGGAUAAAAAUGUUCUUGGCUGUUGUUCAGCUCUAAUGAUGUCCUAGAGCAGAAGUGUUUCUUCUGUUGUCUCAUUUUACCAAGAGGAUGAUGUCUGUGUAUGUCUCUGUGUUUUAGAGAGGCUGGCAAAUGCUGCUAAGAGGAUCUGAGGUUCACAUAAAGAGGAUGAAAAUUCUGAAUUACUUUCACUGCAAAUAAACCUUAACAAUUGUGAGAGUUAGAGAGCAUACUUUUCACAUAAGACUUUGGUAUGCUGCCUAAAGCUACUUACAUAAUUUGCUAUUCAGAGAAAUGCAUUUGUUUAUUGAGGACCCACCCGGACUUAAAUUAGAAAAAUGUAACAUUCAGAUUUUUAUUUUAUAUGUGAAAUAAAUGUGUGAUUGCUGUUCUUAAAAAUUUGAAAAAAAACAGGAUAACAAGAAUAUUAAUUUUGUGACCCAUAGUUCAUGAACUUUAAAAGUGUUUACAGCAUUUAAAGUUUAUUUAACAAUUUAAGUAUUUGAGCACUAUACUAAUUCAUAUGGUUACAUUUGAUCAACUCCUUCAUGAAGCCAUAGGCUUUAUAUCUCCUAGCUGCCUUUCACCUUCAGAGCAAAUCUGGUUUAUACUUAGAUUGCUCCAAAAGUUAUGCAUUUUAAUUUUAUGUUGAAAAUGUCUUUCUUAGAUAAUCAUGGUGCAUAUUUGCAGUUAAUACUUCAGUAUAUUUUAUAUUAUUGGUAAUGCUUUUGUUAGCCAUCCUGGUGCUGCUUUCUUAUAAGAGCUAUGUAUGAGUACCAACUAAUAUAUUUCUUACCUAUUAACCCACUAAAAUUUCUAAUCUAAAAGCAAUAUUCAAGUUACAUUUUAUUACAGAAAUUGGAAAGCAAUUUGCCUGGGAAGCAAAAUGUUGAUAUGAUUCAGGUGAUUUUAACAUUAAAUU